GGCCGCGGCGGGGGCGUUGGGAGCGGGCAGUGGGGGCGGGGGCGCCGCUGUGCGCAUGCGCGCGGCCCGACAGGCGGCGGCGUCACCUGGCUCGGCGAGCCGCCGGCCUCGGAGGCCUAGCCCGCGGGGCUGGAAGCCUGAGUGUGAGCUCGGCGUCGGAGGCCCGUCAUUGUCGCCGGCUGCGCUUCCACCUCGGACCUCGGAGGCCAGUGCGGACAGACAGACAGCCCUCCCCCCACCCCUGCAUCCCCCCCACCCCAGGAAAUGGAAAGGGUCCGAAUGUGGUUUGCUUAUCACGCGCUUGCCUGCGCUCAGUUAAGUACGUGUCUCAGCACAUCCUUCUACUCCCGACUCCUUUGUGAGCAUCCCUGCAGUGACGGAACCCAGAGAGAUGCCCGUGGACUGCCGGUAACAGGCCGACUUGAGAGAUGUGCCACUCGCAAGCCCCAUUUUAUUUAGGCUUCACUUGUACCAUUUCGGGUGUGACUCCUCGUCUGUUUUGUUGCCCCUUUUAUUAACUCCAACCAGUGAUCCAUUCACAGUGGCAAGGCCUGAAGCAGAGUGUGGUGACUCGCCUUUAAAGAAUCCCAUCAUUCGGAAACCUGAGACUUGUGGGAAAGCUGUAAUGUAAUGUUGAAGCCUACCUGGGUCUCAGGCUACAAAAGGGAGCAUCGAUCCUGCUACUCCUCAAGGACUCCAAGGUUUAACCAGCUACAACUGUCCCUCCAGCUAAUAUAAAACAUCUAUCACUCCCUUUCUCCUGGAAGUUGGCUGGAUGAGGGUUAAGAGUCAGCACACACCCUCCAGGGCCAGGCCAUGCCUGCUUACCUGCCUGAUCACAGACAUGGGUUACUCUUCGCUGGAAUGAAAAGUUUAUCAGUGCUGUACAAGCUUCCUGAUACCAUGGAACAGCCCCUCCCGGGAGAGGUGAGGGACACCAGGGCAGCCUCCCACUCUCCUCUCUAUUCCUGGAUACUCAAGCCCAGUGCCCUCCGCUUAGCCUGGAGGGGGAGGUGGGAAGCAGGAAGGUGCCCAGUGAUGAUUUACUUGCCUGUCCCUGCCGAUACAGGUGUACUCACCCUCCCUCCCUUGAGACAAGACCUUAUGUAGCACAGGCUGGUUACAAACUUGUUAAAUGGCUAAGAAUGACUGGACGUAUGAUUGCACAUUCAUUUAGUGUGUGUGGCAGUGGAUGGGUGUGUGAACUACCACCCAUAUUCUAAAGCAAGCCUGUAGAGAUCAGAGGACAACUUGGAGUCACUUCCCUCCUUCCGUCGUGUGGGCUCUAGUCUCAGACUUAGGUAGUCAUGACUGGCAGCAUGCUUCUCCUGGUGGGCCAUCCCUCUGCCCCUGAUCUUGAACUUCUAGUCCUGGAGCUGUGAUUCACAAGUCUCUUGAAACACCAUGCAGACAGUCAUCCAGGCAGGCUCUGGCAGGAACUGUCUCGCUGUACCAGUUCCCAGGACUUCUUCAUGGUGGUUUAUUUGCUCUCAGGUUCCCCUGCUUUCUCAGUAGCUAGACUUCAUCCUCUGCCCAUAGCAGAGGUGUCAGCUCUCCUAGCUACCUGUCCGAUCCAUUCUCCCCCAGAAGUUUCUUGUGGGUCUAUAGGGAGCUCUAGUUCUAGUCCCAGCACAGCUGGAACCCAGGCUUUCAAACAUCUGUCAGGCUCACAGCCGUCCUUUGUUAAAGGUAAUGUUCCCUACGGUAGCUCUGACUUUGCUGAUCUGAACUUAUCCGUGCUUUCCCUGCCUGUGGCCCAGUUAACACUUCCUGCAGGUGGUCUCCAGAGGCAGCGGUUUUAUCUCUAUCUCUUCCUCUCCCAUCAGCCAUCAGAGCCUGUCCUCAAACCUGAGUCCUCCUAGUUAACUGUUAACAUUCCUCACCUCAUCACUGUCUCUGCUUAACAUCAGUUCUCGGGUUUCAGCCUGUUCUUCCCAUUCUGUUUUGCUGAUCCCCACACUACGAAGAGAUCAUGCAGCAGUUGAGGCGCAGUAACAUAAAGCUACUGUCACUUGCUUAGUUAGCAUCACUGUGUCUGCGAGGGAUGGGGGGGGGGAGCCCUGUGUGUGCACAGCAAGUGUAACCUCAGGCUGCUGCCACCCAGUUCAGGACAGAUGCAAAGGGUCCACAGUGGGGUGGGCGAGGAGCUGAGAGUUUGAGCUUCCCAGUCCCUCUCCCCCUCCAAGCCCCUCCAAGAAGGAUUCUCAGAGUCAAAGCACAGAGGUUAUCAUUUGUGAUCAUUAGCAUUGACUGUCAGGGAUGGAUGUUAGACUCGCCUGGGAGAGGCAUCUCUGAGCGCAUCCAAUGGGCAAUUGGCUUAAUUGUGUACAUUGGUGUGGGAAGAUCCUCUUUACUGUAGGCAGGACCUGUGGAAGCCGUGAGCUGAGUCUAGCACACCUGCAUCCGCUUCUGACCGAGGCCCCUGUAAUGUGACCAGCUGCUGCUAUAGGUAGGACCUGUGGUAUAAGUGGAGGCAGUGAGCUGAGGCCCCUGUAAUGUGACCAGCUGCUGCGACAGGUUCGCACUGUCUUACUUCCCCAAUACGAGGGACUCACUGUGACUUGAAAUGUGAGCCGAAAUGAGCCCUUUCUCCCAGACAGCGUUAUUUACCUAUUUUCUCCCAGUUGCUUUUGUCAGCGUAUUUUAUGGUAACAACAGGGAAAGAGACUAAGA